UUUUUAUUGAGAGUUUGAUCCUGGCUCAGGACGAACGCUGGCGGCGUGCUUAACACAUGCAAGUCGAGCGAUGAAGCU
rnacentral:rRNA from 1 species